UUUCCGGUUGAUCCUGCCAGAGGUCACUGCUAUCGGGGUUCGAUUAAGCCAUGCGAGUCGAGAGGGUUCGGCCCUCGGCGUACUGCUCAGUAACACGUGGAUAACCUGCCCUAGGGAAGGGGAUAACCCCGGGAAACUGGGGAUAAUACCCUAUAGGUUACAGAUGCUGGAAUGCUCUGUAACCCAAAGUUCCGGCGCCCUAGGAUGGAUCUGCGGCCGAUUAGGUUGUUGUUGGGGUAAUGGCCCACAAGCCAGUAAUCGGUACGGGUUGUGGGAGCAAGAGCCCGGAGUUGGAUUCUGAGACACGAAUCCAGGCCCUACGGGGCGCAGCAGGCGCGAAAACUUUACAAUGCGGGCAACCGUGAUAAGGGAACCUCGAGUGCCUGUAAAUGCAGGCUGUUUAGGUGUUUAAAACGCACCUGGAGAAAGGGCCGGGCAAGACCGGUGCCAGCCGCCGCGGUAAUACCGGCGGCUCGAGUGGUGGCCACUUUUAUUGGGCUUAAAGCGUUCGUAGCUGGGUUGUUAAGUCUCUUGGGAAAUCUGGCGGCUUAACCGUCAGGCGUCUAAGGGAUACUGGCAAUCUUGGAACCGGGAGAGGUGAGGGGUACUUCGGGGGUAGGAGUGAAAUCCUGUAAUCCUCGAGGGACCACCUGUGGCGAAGGCGCCUCACCAGAACGGCUUCGACAGUGAGGGACGAAAGCUGGGGGAGCAAACCGGAUUAGAUACCCGGGUAGUCCCAGCCGUAAACUAUGCGCGUUAGGUGUAUCGGUGACCACGAGUUACCGAGGUGCCGAAGGGAAACCGUGAAACGUGCCGCCUGGGAAGUACGGUCGCAAGGCUGAAACUUAAAGGAAUUGGCGGGA
rnacentral:rRNA from 1 species